UCGCAGCUUUCUUCGGUCCCGCGUAUGU
rnacentral:sRNA from 1 species